rnacentral:rRNA from 1 species
UACGAAGGGAGCUAGCGUUGUUCGGAAUUACUGGGCGUAAAGGGCUCGUAGGCGGCCAACUAAGUCAGACGUGAAAUCCCUCGGCUUAACCGGGGAACUGCGUCUGAUACUGGAUGGCUUGAGUUUGGGAGAGGGAUGCGGAAUUCCAGGCGUAGCGGUGAAAUGCGUAGAUAUCUGGAGGAACACCGGUGGCGAAGGCGGCAUCCUGGACCAACACUGACGCUGAGUGAGCGAAAGCCAGGGGAGCAAACGGG